GCCCACCUCACAGCCUCGCACAUGUCGCUUCUCCCUGCCGCCUCCUCUCCUCACCACGGCUCGCCCUCGGCAUCCUCUCCCCACCACGGCUCGCCCCGCAGCCUCCACCUCCGAUACGACCUCGCGCUGCCACCAACGCUUCCGGUCUCCCCUGUAUCGACACUGCCGCCGGUGUCCAACCUCAGCGACGACGCCAGCCUGCCCGACGCAGCUCCUGGCCGCGGCGGCCUAGAACACCGAGGUAUAGAAGCCUGCUCCGGCUGCCAAGCUGCCGCCCAACCUGCUCUGGGGGUUCCAUAUGAUACAAGACUCAAAGGUCUAGAUGAUGACAGAGGAACCAAAGGUCUAACACAGGAUGCUUCAAAGUCUCAUUUUAAAAGGUCAACAGGUUGAUGUUCUUUUUCAUAUCUCAUCUUGUCGGUCUGAUAUUUGAAAUAUCACAGAAUUAUUGUUCAGAUGCACCUGUUAUCUAAAUUAGUUCCUGCUGACACAUUCAGGCAGUACAAGUUUCACAAUAAAUCUAAUUCCACACAUACAACCAAUCUGUAGAUUAAUUUGGCACUGACGUUCGAUUAAGUUGAUUCCAGUGUAACAAUGAAAAACUUCUGGAGAACUCAUACCUUACGGCUAUUAUAAAUUUAGGUCAUUACUUCAGAUGAUAUAAUGAGAGAGAGGUCUAAAUUUAGGUUAUUACUACUUCAUCAGGACCAUAUACUAUUUAACAGUAAUACUACUUUUUAGAAGAUAAUUUGUCGUGCUUCUAGUGAACUGGCAACCCCGGCUAAAAUUUGAGGUCUGUUAAUUUAAGACAUACAAAUAAUUGAACAUGUUAAACAAAAUAAUCAGAAGCAAAGGUUCGGCGGCUCAUUGUAUCAACCAAUCCCGAAUUACUGGCUAAAGGUUCUAGAAUUUACAUUUUACAGAAGUAGUAAAAAAACAUAAUUUUUGUUUUAAAUUGAGUUGUGUCUGUAACACAAUGAUAUUCAGAGGACCCAAACUUGGGUGCUUCCAACGCUAUUACACACAAAGUUAAAUGCAUUGGCUUUAGAGAUACCUCGAUAGAUGCCAUUGGGUGGAGAAAUUAUUUUCAACAGGGCAUGAAGAGGAUUGUUUGAUGGUCAACAUUUGCAGGAGUAAGCUUGCUCAAGGAUUAGUUUUUGCCUUUUCUGAACAUGGACUUUGUGGAUGCAGAAGCUGCAUGAAUAGCAUUUAACGUUAAUCACAGAACGGCAGACAAAAUUCUAUAAUGUGCUGAAAUCUAACAAAAUCAAUAUUAAGAGCACUAUGAUUUAGACAACAAUGUUACAGACACAUGGAUUACCCCUUUCAAGCAAUCACAACCACGAAAGCGCACAGUCAAGGCCAGAAAAGGCGGGGUUCUACUUAUUUUAAAUCAUGGUUACCUCUGGCAAGGCUGGGUUUUGCUUACUUUAUUAAAUCAUAGGUACGAAAAUGCACACGGCUGGGUUCUGCUUAUUUUAGUGGCAAUCGCUGUAAAGUGGCUUUCUAGUUGGAUGUCUACAAAAUCAAAUAUCAUUCUAGAAUUAUUUUCUUUUGUUUCAGAUGUCAACUAUCAAGAAUAUAACCUCUGAACUAUCCACCAAGUUGUUCAAAACUUGACUUAGAAACAGAGUAAAGUUCACAUGGACAGUGAUAUUUUAGUCUGGCCACUACAAACCAAGGAAGCCUACUAUAGAAAAGCAAUAUUAAGCAUUUAGAGUAGUAUAUUCUGCUGGUUGAUGCUUUUUGCUAUAUAUUCCACAUUGUUGUAGUAAAACCAAUUUUUUAGAUAUAUUACUUGCUGUCGUUUCAGAGGUAGUUGCAGUCCAGCUUAAGCUUUGUAGAGUCAUAGCCUCACAGGUAACUCGGGAUGGUUGUAUUGCAAGCGUAGGAUUAAAAAGGAAACCCCCAGAUAAUAUAUUCAGUGCCAAAAAACAUGACCCUUAGUUGCCAGAGUCAGCUUAAACUCAUUCCAUUGCUUUGAAAAACAUGCAUGCAUGGUACCCUACCCAAUACCAAUUGGCAGGCCAACAUAUAAGAAGAAAUUUGUCUUAAUUGUAUUGCAGAUAUUUAGAGAGGCAUGUACUGAAUUUCAUUUGCACAAAAUAAAUUGUUGUAGAUUGACAAUUGUCAUAGAGAUUUUGUAUAGUCCUUCAUUCAAAUGGCCUAAAACUAACAUAAAAAUGUGGUAAUUCAUUGGCACAAAUGGAUUGCAUACAGUACUCUCAAGACUGCAAUACAAUAGCAAUUGGCAGGCCAACAUUCAGAGAAGCAUGUACUAAACUUAGGUUGUAGAAAUUCAGAGAAGCAUCUGCUAGAUUUAGCAAGUAGAAAUUCAUAGAAGCAUGAGAUGAGGAGCCGAGUCUACCUUUUCCUGGAUGUUGUCUACCUUUUCCUGUUAUAGUAAACGUGCACGUGCAAAUGCACGUAUCUAAAUAAAAUUGAUCCUUAUUCAGUUGUUACGUGGUAUAAAUCUGAACAAGAAAAUCACUAAAUAAUAUAUACUCCCUCCAUAAACUAAUAUAAGCACGUUUAGAUUACUACUUUAGUGAUCUAAAAGCUCUUAUAUUAGUUUACAGAGGGAGUAUCUUUUAUUCAAAGUUGUUGCCUCACCUCAGAAAUGCAAAGCAAGCAAUAUUCUAAUGAUCAUUUACAUGCAAGCCACAUAUUGAUCAAUGCAAAUAGCGCAAAAACAUACUUCAAGCACAGGAAACUUUUUGUAUACACAAUUUUAUGAGGGCUAAGCAAAAUCAUUGAAGUGCUCCUUGCAUAUACAAUAUUAUAAUUUAUAAAUAUAAUUCUAUAAUUUCUAGACUUACAAUAAAUAAGGAAAUCCUACUACUAUAGAGGUCUUGUUUGAAGAUGACACCAUUCAAAUAUGUUCACACAGAUUAUUUUGUUACGGGAAUAUGUUCACAUGGUUCACAUCAAACAUCCGUAACGAACUCUUUAUAUUAAUAUUUCAAAUGACUUACAUAACUUCCACUAUACAUUAAAAAACUGAAAACACGGCUAUGCCUAUAUGGUCUAUGCCUAUAUGAUUGGAUUAUAGUUCCAUGCGCGACUUGAUUACGUUGUUUGAUGCUCCAUCCAGAUGUAACUCUUCCAUAUAACAAAACAUACUUUGUAUCACUCUUCACAUCUUCUCGUUGAUGGCAAAAACAUGACUAUCGUCACACCUAUGCCACCGCUUCAUAUCCAAACGCAAGAUGAAAUGAAUGGAAGAUGGUAAGUACCUGUCAGCAUCUUCCUUACUCCCAAGAUUAUGCUUCCUCCUCUCUUUCCUUCCUCUCCCGAUUCUUUUUGUCAAACGAACAACAUGAAUUGAAAAUCAACCAAGCAAAUCAGAAAUGAGAAACAAAAUAUGAAAACAUGAGUAAACCUUAUCUCACUUCAAUGCAAAUCACAGAUGAUCAUGGGCGCCCUGCCACUGAUUAUGUUAAUACUUGUUGGAAAGGUCAACCUGUACACCAUGUAAAAUUACCUACAAGGUUCAGCUCUGGUGGUUCUGCAAGCAAAUAUCUUGUCUGGAUAUGAUAGUUCUAGGGACAAACCUGAAAACUUUAUUGUAUGCCCCUAUGCACUGUGAGGCCUUGUAGUUUUAGCUCGCCCCAACAGUAUGGAUAUGAAAAUUAGGUAUCAACAUGAAAAUAUGUAAGAUGAUUCUACAUAUCUUUGUAGGUGGAGAAGAAAUUACAAUUAGUAGUUGUUGCAAGUAUAUAUGUAUUGAAUAAUUAUACAUACAAUAUGAUAUAUCAAUCCAGUAAAAGCAGCGACAAGUCUAUCCAUAUUGCCGCAUUGUACAAAUACUAAGAUAUUUGGUCAAUAUAACACACCGAUUCACAAAACCAAGUCCCCAAAACCGAGGUCAUCCUUCUGCAUAUUUGCACGACAACACAUUGUAGUCAAACAUAUGGAAGAAUUAUUUGCAUUCCGAAAUCAUACUAUUUGAAUCUGUUAAUCUGAAGAAAUGUAGACCUUUUUAAUCUAAUUCAAUCAUCAAAAGCAUAUUGGUUCAGAAAUAGGAGUUAAUCUGAAGCAUGUGUCUUGUUCUUAACUUCUCCUCUCUUGCUGCUGCUCUCUCCUCCUUCUGUAUGCUCUGUUGACAUCCUCUUUCAGAAACACAUUUAGUAUAGAAGGAAAAACCAAAAAAUACAAAUUUGAAGGUGAACCUAUUUUAUUAAAAGGAAAAAAUUAGCACAGGUCAAAUUUGGUAGGUUUAGAAAAAUAUGCAAUUGAUGCACAUCAUUUUGGGUUGUGCUUAAGAACAACACCAAUAACUACAAUUUAAGAUGUGGCCGACAAUAGAGAAUAGCAACACCUAAAGGCCUAUAAUAUCAUCUAGCUUGGCAUGCUCAUGUAAACUAAAUGAAGCUAUCAUAAUAGUGCCUAUAAUAUAUCUAAAUUUAGUACCAUAAAAUUAGAGAACCAUACGGUUUGAUUUCUCAUAUUUCGUUUCGGAAAAUAGCAGACUCUGUUUUUAAAAAUGACAGUUAGAACGCUCGUUAUGAGAUCACAAUGUGCCUUUUAACAUCGAUCUAAGAAUGCAAGAGCAACUGAACUUGAUCUAUGCUAAGCGUUGUCUGAACCAACUGUACAUGAUUUCUAUGAAACAAAUAAAGACUGUUAUGUUAGGAUAAUCCUCCUACUAUAACAGUUUGACUUACUUCACUUGAUAAACAAAGCACCUGCCUUUGAUUUGGUCUAGUAGGCAUCAAAGCUAUAGUAAUAAUUAGCAAAUUUCUGCAGAAUAAAUAUUUUCUAUAUAUACAUACUUGGCAGAAACAAAGCCAUGUCCUGGUGCUUGUUGAGAAUGACGCCGAGGGAUAACACUGUGGUAGAAAAGGCCUUUUCAGAUGGCAGAAACAAACAUCAGUCAAUGUGUAAAGGGCAUAGACAACAAGAACAGAAACAAAAACUUUUGAACAACCACAACAAUAAGUCUACUUUUAAGCUCACUCGUCUAGCUAUAAGCAACCAAACUUCACUAACUCUGACUUUAAAACAUCAAACUUAGGGGGUUACAAAAACAUCGGCGGCCUCACGGUGAUGACGACCACCCGAUUAAAUUGAAACUACCGACAAUACACCUGUAAUCCUCCGCUGCAUUGAGCAUCAGCCAUCGUAAGAUUGAUUCCUUAAUUGAUCUAAAAAUAGUUGCUUGGAUUGAUGUACUAUUAGAACAGAUUGGAAUAUGGAGAAGAAAGAGACCGGAGUUAGGAGAAGAAGCAGGGUCAGAGCUUGAUGAAGCAGGGCCGUUUACCUGGUGGGAGGCGAGGCUAGCAAUGGUGGGGCUGCGAUUGCGUCCGAGUGCACAAAGCGGAGGCCGUAGUUAGAGCCCAAGUGGAAGACGGGGAAGAAGUACUGCAGUUCCACGGGCGCGGCGGGGCGGCUCCGGUGGCUGGGGAGGCGACGACCCGCGGCGGGACAGCUCCCGCGGCGGGGGCGUGCUCCCGUGGCUGGGGAGGCAGCGACCCGCGGCGGGGGCGGGCUCCCGCGGCUGGGGAGGCGGCGAACGGCGCGGCGGGGGCGGGCUCCCGGCGACCUGCGGGGCUUCCCGUGGCUCCGGCGGCGCGAGGCGGCGGUGAGGGGCGCGGCUUCCCGUGGCUCGGCGCGAGGCCGUGGGAGGCGAACGGCGCGGGAGGAGGAGGAGGUCGUGCGGGAGGAGAAGGUGGAGGUCGUGCGGGCGACCGGUUUUGUUAGUGCGGGACAGAUUAGCGAUAGAUUGAUUGUAGUGGCUUAAUGCGUGGUUGGUAGAGUUAAAUACAAAAUGAUUAAGGGCCAUUAGAUCUUGAUGAUGGAUGGGUGGGAUUGUUUGGAUCUGCCCCUCUUUUUUUUUUUAUAGUGGUAGUAGAUAAGUUUCUCUGCACCGCUAGUUAACACCUACUAUAGUAGUAGUAGACUGCUGUCGAGAGAUAGAGUUAUGUGCAGGCAUCCCUUGAUUAGUGGCUUUUGCAACUUUUGAUACACCGAUUUGUAAUUUAAUACGUUAGUAGCGGCAAUGAUUUGAUAAUAUACUGGUGGGAGUUAUUCUGAAAGGAUUCAUCUACAGAAAUGAUUCUAGGAAUGUGCACACGUCAAACACCUAGCUAUCUAGACUUGUAGUAGCCAUGCAUAUUAGCACACAUGACCAGAAUAUUACCGAGUUAUUAUUAUUUUCUGUGAUGUGAUAUGGUUGGUACGAGAAUAUGCAUAUGCUUGUUUUUUCAAAAAGGCCGGCCAAUUUGAAUGGAGAACAGAAGAAUAUAGACUGAAGUGUCGAUCGGCGGAUGGAAGCUGGGGAGAUAUAUCAGUAAGCAGCAUGGUUUAACCAUAGCCAACUGUUGGCUGUCAUCUAUAGCCAACCUUAUAUUCAACAUGUAUAACAAUUAGCUAUAAGUAUGUACUAUUUUAUUAAUUCAUGGCUCACUUUUCACUCUCA